AAUCGAAAAGGAAUUUCGUAUUAUAAUUUUCGACAUUAAUAAUAUCUUAUUAUUUCAAAAAAUAUUUCUAUAUUCAAAACGUAAAUCCAUCAAACGAAAAAGGUCUAUUUUAAUAAUCGUAAUAUUACAAAGUGCAAUAAUUGUACGAUAAUAAUUUACAUAAAAAUAUUUUUUAUUUCUAUCCUCAUAUGUGUACAAACAUCUCGUAAAUCGAAAGAAUACAAUUAUACAAUACACACCAAGAUAUACACACGGAGAAAAGAAGAAAAAUAAAAAAACAUACCGACCUUCUACUUCAGAAAAAGAACCUCCGCACAGGCCGUCUUAAUUGGAAGGGCCUCGAUUAAAAACCGACACCACCUCUUCCUUUCCACUCUCGGACGUGCAAUUAGCAUAACUCGCCCCAAUCGUCGUAUUCAUAUCCCCUCAAACGAAUCUCCAGUCCCUUCUUUCUCUCCUGAAAAAGCACACGCCGAAGAAAAUCCAUCCACACUUGCACCCAUCCAAACUUCUCCAUAAUAAGCCUCUACGUGCCAAAAAAUAGAGAGGAACGAUCUUAACCCCGUCCUUUCUCUCCUCGAUCCUCACUUCACCCCCCUCGAACGAGAAAAAAAAAAACAGAAUCGUCCCGAGAACGACCUUUCCUCCCCUCGAAAUUUCGCUUCCCAAUUUCUACGCGGACUGCCCGCGUCCAGGAGGGGAGGGGAGGGGAGGGAAAGCGAGUUGACAAGAAGAAGCCACGUAAGCGUCGAGGGGUUGAAGAAAGCGGGCGGAGGAGAAAGAGAGAGGGAAAGAGAGGGAGAGAGGGUGGGGGGUGGCGUUUGGCGUGCCCGCGCAGUUUCACAGCCAUCCCCCGUACCCGUGCACGACUGAAUCGGCACGGAGGGUGGCGACGGUCGGAGUUGGAAAUGACGGAGAACGGAUUUUCCCUCUAGUAGGACGCGCGACCUCAGCCCGGUAAGAUCGACGCCGCCCUCGCCCCCGAGACUAAACGAGACGCGGUGAGACAGACGCGCCGACGAACGAACGCGACCACACGGUUCCACACGGCUCGUUGUAUAAGGAAGGAAAAGAACAGAACCUCUUCCCUCGCCUCGUUCUCGAAGGGACAAGAUAAAUCUUGGAGGGAUAAGAUAAAAAAGAAAGAGAGAAAGGGGGAGAGAGAGAGAGAUCCUCCUCGAUGCGAAAUUAUUUCAUCUGCCCGAAUAAUCGCGCGAUAAGGAGAGGAGGAGGAAGGUGGAAGAAGGAAGGAGGGAGAUUCGUAUCGUGUGAAGGGGUGAUGACAGUAACGACAAAGGGAUUAUAAUAAUCUGGAGGAUCUCGUUUCGAGUUUAUUUUCUUCCUCGAGGGGGGAAAUGAUCGAGAGCGGUUGGUGCGCGGACACCAACGAGGGGGGUUAAUUCGAAAUCGAGGCGAUCGAUAAACGGGGAUCGAGGAAAGCGAAAGGGAGGACCGUCCCCGAGAUGAGAAGGAAACGCAUGAAAGGAUUCGUGGAAACGCGCCACCGAGACGCGGCGUAGUAGGACUUGGGAAAGAGAAGGGGGGCCGGAAGUCGGUGACGCAAAGCGUUGGAGAGAGAAAAGGGCCGCCGCUGCUGCACCCCUGCUCGGCCGGAAAUCUCGAUCGAAGGGAGGAGGGAGAGGAGUAUAUCGGAUAAAGUAUAUCGGUAUAUUUUUCGUACGUAGCUGAUUUUUGCCAGGCUCGGUCGAGGAAGGCGUCGUCGAUGAGAGUCGAAGAUGGCAGACAACGGGAAGUGGCAACGGGCGAAAGUCGAUCGCGACUCGGCGACGAACAGCUGCGAGAACGAUGAUGUUACGUCGUUGGAUCAACGCGACAGUUAACAAAACGUCAGCAGAGAAAAUUGAAAAGGGAGAAUUCAUCGUGUUUCCACGCCCACCGAAAUCGACAUAUUUCUUUUAACCCGUAAGAUGAGAUAAAAUAAAAUCGGCCAACAUGAAGAUAAAGGAAAGAAACGAACGUUCCGCUUAUUCGUUAGAAGAAAACAAACGAUUUCACCCACGAUAAUUAAAAAAGGAAGAUAAGAGUAAUGAGAGAUACUCGGAGAGAUUGAAGGAAACUCUAGUUAGAUCUUUGAUUUUUCCUUCGAGAGAUCCGGAGAAAAGAGAAGAAGAAGAAGAAAAAAAAGGAAUCGUUUCGAAGAAAAAUAGAGAGGAACCGCUUCCCGAUUUAACCGAUUCGAAGCUAUCUAAAGUUUUCGUUCGAGCAAGUUGAAAAGGUUGAUUGUGAUCCAAUAGGCAAUAGCUUCGGAACAAUCGGAACGGUUUCGUGUCGACGACGAUUCUUCGCAACGGUCGAUACCAUUACCAUCCUUUUGAUCGAAAUCUCUCUCUCUCCGUGGAUAUCAACGCCGGAAAUCGAAAGACCCUCCCCCUUCUAAAAACUUCGUCCCAACGAAAUUAUCACUCUCUCUCUUUCUCUCUCUCAAAUAAUCCCUAUCCCACAAAUUUGCCAUUGCGAAUAUCUCCCGCAAGACGAGACAAUAAUUACCCCCCAAUUAUCAUACAAUUCGACGAGAGAGGGAAUAAGAAAGAAGAAUCAAACGAACAAUAAUACACAAUUUCGAAAUUCGAUCUCAAUCCCCGCUUUCCCUCCUCGAGGAGCGGAGGAAAACUCGCCUCGCCUUGCGUACCACACUGUACAAGCGCACACACAUAUAUAUAUAUAUAUAUAAUCA